rnacentral:SRP_RNA from 1 species
GCCGGGCAUGGUGGUGCGUGCCUGUAAUCCCAGCUACUCAGGAGGCUGAGGCAGGAGAAUCGCUUGAACCCGGGAGGCAGAGGUGGCAGUGAGCCGAGAUUAUGCCAAUGUACUUCAGCCUGGGUGACAGAGCGAGACACUGUCUCAA